GAUGAACGCUGGCGGCGUGCCUAAUACAUGCCAGUCGAGCGAACGGACGAGAAGCUUGCUUCUCUGAUGUUAGCGGCGGACGGGUGAGUAACACGUGGAUAACCUACCUAUAAGACUGGGAUAACUUCGGGAAACCGGAGCUAAUACCGGAUGAUAUUUUGAACCGCAUGGUUCAAAAGUGAAAGACGGUCUUGCUGUCACUUAUAGAUGGAUCCGCGCUGCAUUAGCUAGUUGGUAAGGUAACGGCUUACCAAGGCAACGAUGCAUAGCCGACCUGAGAGGGUGAUCGGCCACACUGGAACUGAGACACGGUCCAGACUCCUACGGGAGGCAGCAGUAGGGAAUCUUCCGCAAUGGGCGAAAGCCUGACGGAGCAACGCCGCGUGAGUGAUGAAGGUCUUCGGACCGUAAAACUCUGUUAUUAGGGAAGAACAUAUGUGUAAGUAACUGUGCACAUCUUGACGGUACCUAAUCAGAAAGCCACGGCUAACUACGUG
rnacentral:rRNA from 1 species